UACGUAGGGUGCGAGCGUUGUCCGGAAUUAUUGGGCGUAAAGCGCACGUAGGCGGCAUUGCAAGUCGGAUGUGAAAUCCCUCGGCUCAACCAAGGAAGUGCAUCCGAAACUGCUGUGCUUGAGUACUUAAGAGGAUCGCGGAAUUCCCGGUGUAGAGGUGAAAUUCGUAGAUAUCGGGAGGAACACCAGUGGCGAAGGCGGCGAUCUGGGAAGAUACUGACGCUGAGGUGCGAAAGCGUGGGGAGCAAACAGG
rnacentral:rRNA from 1 species